rnacentral:rRNA from 1 species
ACGAACGCUGGCGGCGUGCUUCAUACAUGCAAGUCGUGCGAGAAUCCUGGAGCAAUCCGGGAGGACAGCGGCAGACGGGUGAGUAACACGUGGGUAAUCUACCUGAAAGUCGGGGAUAAGCCUCCGAAAGGGGGUCUAAUACCGGAUAACGUUUCUUUAAGGCAUCUCGAAGAAACCAAAGCUAGUCUCUGUUUACAAGCUAGCGCUUACAGAUGGACCCGCGCUCCAUUAGUUAGUUGGCGGGAUAACAGCCCACCAAGACUGCGAUAGAUAACCGACCUGAGAGGGUGUACGGUCACACUGGGACUGAGACACGGCCCAGACUCCUACGGGAGGCAGCAGUAGGGAAUAUUGCGCAAUGGCCUAACGGCUGACGCAGCAACGCCGCGUGGAGGAUGAAGUCUUUCGGGAUGUAAACUCCUGUCAGAGGGGAAGAAAUCUCUCCUAGAAAAUAA